CUCAGCCUCCCAAAGUGCCAGGAUUAUAGGCGUAAGCCACCAGGCCUGGCCUCAUUCUCUUUUUUAGACCUGUGGACGUCUUAUUUCUAAACCCCUACUGCUGCAGGAAUGUCUUUCUUCCUUCUUUCUAUCUAUUCAAAUCCUCUCCUUUAUUCAUUUAUUCAGUCAUUCAGUCUGAAUGGGGUCAGUCCGUCAUUAAACAUGUGUUGAGUACUUACUGUGUGGCAGGCAACUGGUCUAAGGUUUGAGAUUACAGUACUGAAGGGAAUAUCCCUGCCUUUAAGGAAUCUAGCUGGGGCACACCCUAGUUGGAAAGCAGAUAUGUUCACUCCAGGAAAGGUAAGAAAUAAUGUUGUGAAGGUAUGAGUAUAAUGCCUUGGGAACAUGGGGCAAGGGAAGACUGACUCUAUGUGAAGGGGCCUCUGCCAUUAUUCUACCCCAAUUAUACAUCAAUUGCCUUUUUUUUUUCUUUAUUUUUGCCUCCUAUUAACAUAUAAAGAUGGCCACACACAACAGAAACCGUAAGUGUAUAUACUGCUCGCUAUCAUUGGAUAAAUGCCAGGAUGUGGGUAUAAGUAGCUAUAUCUAGCCAGAAAGGACCAAGGCAAUCUAAUCAAGCAGAAUAUGUUAAUGAGGUACCUCAGGUUUAUCCAGAAAAGUGAGUUAUGCUUAGGGGUAUAGGAUGAGUAAUUUCUUCACCAACAAACUUUAGAAGGGACCUAAUGCAGGGUUUUAAAAUCUUGCUUGCAUGCCAGAAUUAUCUGGGGAACAUUUGAAAAAUACAGAUGACUAAGCCCAAUCCUAGACUUAUAGAAGCACGAUGUUUUAAAAUAAAGUGCAGGAAUAUGGAUUUUUAAGUAUUACAUGGGUGAUUCUAAUGAUUAGCUAGUAACGGUUGGGAAGUGCUGGUCUAUUUUGUGCCAACAUUUGCAGAACACUGAGAACACGGACAUGAAUAAAAUACUGUCGAUUCUACUCCUGCCUUAUAAGACAGGUCUCUAUCCUGGAAAACCUGCCAGUCAGGUGGAAGGGACAGGCAAGGAAAUAUACAAAACCAGAUAUCUUAGAGAAAUAGAUAUAAAGUGAGGUUGCAACACAGAGAUAGAAAGGACCAACUCACUCUUGGGAAAAGCAGGAAGUUUCUUAGAAUAUGGUGCAUUUGAGAUGAGAUAUAAAGGACUUGGGGGUUUCUCAAAUGAAGGGGGUGAGAAAAGACAUUCCAAGCGUAGACUUGAGCCUCUGGCUCCCACUGGACUUAGCCAGCAAGUCUAAGAGGUGCCUGAGUUAUAAAGAUUGGGGUACUUAUACUCUGGAGCCAGGCUCUUAGAUGUGUCUGAGGUGGAAACUGAUGUUCAUCAUUUAUGUCACUAAUUUACACCUGUUUCAUAUAUCAUUUUCAUUUCAUUCAAUCAGACAUUUCCUGGGUGCCUUUGUACCUAGGAGACAUUCUCAAACAGAAUUUGCAAUGGGAACACACAAGAUGGACAAAAAUUCUCUCGAAUUUGAAGCCCAAGAAAAACUUCCUGAGAAAGAUGAUGCUAAAGUUAGUCUUAAAAGUUAGAGUUCUCAUAAAAAUGAGAAAAGGCGGAAAAGGGCUGAAUUGUUUUGCGAGUAUUACACAAUGCAUGGAGAUGAGAGUGAAUUCUACACAUGCAAGGACCUUCAUGUCCUAUGAGGCUGGACCAUGGCAUUGGGUAAGAGAUGGUGGCUAUGAAUUAGCCUGGGGAGGAAGGUCUGUUUCAGGCUGUUAAAAGAUUUCUUAUGCUCUGCUGGAGUCUGAACUUCAUGUAGGCGGCCUUGGGAAACCCUAAUUAUUUAAUGCAGGGCAGAUGAGGUCUGAUUUACUUUUCCAAAAGGUCAUUCUGAGCACAUAUAUCUUUUUUUUUUUCAGCAGAAUUGUAAACAUCCUCUCAACAGACAUCACAUCUUGAUUCAUUUCUUUUUGUUUCACCAGCAAGUGCUUAGCAGAAAACUAAAUCCUGGUAGAUAAAGGGGAAGACCUAAAGGAAGACAAGACAAGGGACUAAGGAAAUGUUGGGGAAGAUGAGAACACACUCAGAAACCACAACUGAAGAAUUCCUAGGACUCCCAGGAAAGGGGCAUAUCCAGAAAGGAGAUAAGAUCGGAAGCCUUUAUUUCCACCAUUCAGUCACUCACUGCCUGAGACUUCAUUUCAAGUAAGGGGAUAAUAUUUGGCCCCUAUGUAUCUUACAAGGGUUGUUUCCCUAAGAAAAAAAAUUAGGUAAGAUCAUAAGUGAGAAAGGAGUUUUUGAAUUAAAUAUAUAUACAAAUGCAAGUUAUAACAAUUUUUGUUCUGGAUAUUUUUGCAGCAGAUAGAAAAGUUCUUUGUGCUGUGGCCACCUGCCUAAUGCUGUUGACUGGCUGGUAAUAGAUGCCUGGGAGUCAUUUUGAGGUUACUUAGAGCCUCUUUCCACCACCAGAUGGAAGGAAAUUGGGCAACUUCUUGAGUAAUUGGCUCUUCUGACUCACGUUUCUUGCAUUGUGACCUGGGUGCUACCCAGGAUGAGCAAGGAAUUUCCUCUCUGGAGUUGUUUAAGGAAUAGCCCUAAACAUUCAGCUUCAUCUUUUUUUAAUGCCUCCUCUAACACUAUCUGAGCAGCCACAGAAAAGUAUUUGCUGCUGCCGUAUUUCAGAUCAGCUGAGAUAUAUUUUGAGUAAGUACUCUGGGAAAGGCACAGAAUACCAUUUCUUUACUGAGGUUCUCUUCAAGGAUUUCCAUCCCCCCUUAAAGACCUAAUUGGGAUGGAGCAAUGUAUUUAGAACAUGAUGUGAGUACCAACAAGGAGUCAGGAGACACCUUUCAGCUGUACUUCUUUAUUCUUCCCCCCUUGCUUCCUCUGUCUCCGGUUUGCCCUUUUACAUCUCUUCUUUUUCCUUUCUUUUCUUGUAAUACUUUCUCUUGAUCAAUAGACCUGCCGUAGCCUUCCCAGACAUAAAUUAUCAGCUUCCUUAGAAGGCCUCGGAAUGUGAACAGUUGUAGCCAGUUAGUCCAGGUCUUAGAUUCUCACCCCUUGCUGUGUAUGUAAUUAUCCAGGGAGCUUAAAAGGUACUGAGCCAUGGGCCCCAAUGGAAUCAUUAUUCCUGGGGGGUGGGAUGGGCCCUAGACCUGGUAUUUUCAAAAACUUUCAAAAAUGAUUCUAAAACAUAUGCAGGUUAAACUGGUUGCAGACACCCAGGAAGCAAAAAUAUGACAAAACUACCCUAAAAGUAAAAUAAGAUUUUUGGCUCAAA